CGAGGCUGAAAGAUAGUAACGAGAAAUUAAAAUGUAGCAACGUUGUAUAUUCUAUCAAAUGUAAUAAUUGUGAUGGUGUCUACAUAGGUGAAACGGGUACCUACCUAGCAAAUCGUUUGUAUAGGCACCAAUAUGAUGUUCGUACCUCAAAAACGACCACUGCCCUGUCUCAACAUGCUAAAAACACUGGUCAUUCUUUCGAUUUUGAAAAUGUCAAAAUUUUGACUUUUGAAAAGAAUGUAUUAAAAAGACGCAUUCUCGAAUGCAUUUUAAUUAACCAAUGCGAUAAUGCUAUAAAUUUUAGAACAGAUUUAGCGAGUUUCAACGAGAUUUAUCGUCUAGUAAUAAGUUAGUUUCUAUGCUUGUAUGUUUCUCUCUUGGUCCAUUGUUGCAUCUUCGACCUACCUACUCUUAUCUAUUCUCGACUUUGUAUUUCGCUUUUCGUUGUGUAUUUUAGUAUCGUGUUACCGCUGAAGAAGGCAACAAGUUUUGCUGAAACGUUCGGUCAUACGUCUAUGUGUUAUCAAUAAAAUUGCGUGUAAUGUAUUGCCUCAGUAUUUUUAUUAAAACUCAAAAAACACGCGUUACAAUUCCAGUUCUUUUAUAAGAACGAAUGUAAUUUGUAGAUGGUGAUUUUUGAUUUAAUUUUGGUUCGAUUAGUCUGCAUUUAAUUUUAAAUAUCAAAUACAUGCAGAAAAGUCAGUAUGUCGGUGUGUUUAGAUUCAGAUGAUGAAAUAACAGUAGAUCAUAAUGGGAUAUCUUCAGCUCAUUCAAAGGCGAUGAAAAAACAAAUUAGGGCAUAAUGUUUACGUAUUAUAAUGAACAGAAAAUUAAAAACAGAAGUACACUGGCUUUGAAGUCACGGAUGCACCAUAUUUACGCACUAGAAUGUCAAUGGAGCUAGCUGGCAAAAAGGUUACAUGCUUACUAUGAAACCGCCAAGACGUUUUUUUUUUUGUUUUGUUUUACUUGUACAAAUCUAUCUAUAUUUGAAGACAUUGAAAAUUUUUUCAAGUCUAAUGACAAGGAAUUAAGGUAAGGAACUAAAUUUGUAAUUUUUGGUACAGAAUACAAUCUUCGAACGCACAUCCGUCUCAAACUUUCUGAACAUAGUUCGGCCACUGCUUUAAGUACAUUUAGGUAUUUGAUAAUUUUCUUAAAUGUUUUAGUCUGUCGAGGUCCUCAUUGUUUGAGUGAACCCAAAUAGAAGAUAUAGAAUGAAUUCAUCAUAAUACAUCACUCCAAUGUUACUGAACAGAAAAACAAUCUAGAAAAUGUUUUCACGUUGGAAAAGAGGAAAUUUAAUAAAAGUUUUCCCUCAUUGGCGACUGAAAAAAUGUGUAAUAAAAUGAAAAAAACUUUUAUGAUGGUCAUUACAAUACCUAGUUCAUUAAAUACACUCUUUCUAUCUAGCUUUCAAACAGUUUCCUUGUAAGCAUUUUAUGAUGAACAUUUUUUGUUGAAGAAAAAAUAAUUAUCAGAGAAUUAAAAUUCAUGUUUUCUGUAACUGCAUAAAAUUACUCAUACAGAAUUUUUUUCCCACAAUUGAAACAUUUCCUUAUAGGCUGGAGAAAAAAUUAGCUUGGUAGAAUCGCAAAACAUGUACAGGCUGGAGGAGAAUAAUAGGAAGGCAGAAAUACAUGAAGAAAGACUGUGUCGUGAGAAAGAGCUCAUUAGACUCACCAUUCAAGAAGUUACAGACAGAAUAAAUUUUCAAGAAAAAUUAAACGAGAAACUGAUGUUAAUUCUAGAUCAGUACCCGUGAUUUUAAUUUAUUUUCAAUUUCCUACGUAGUUAGUUAUGUUACACCAAAGUACCUUUUUUUUCUUUCUUUUUUAUUGAGUGUAUUAUUCUUGUGUUUUUUUCUGAGUAAAUUACUCCUAAAUUUCGUUUAGAAAAGUCUUUUAAGUUCCUGUGAUGAUAUGUUAUACCGAAGUACCUUUUUUUGUAAUUUCUCGUACAACUUCUUUCAAAUUGCGAUUCUUUCUACAUUUCGAUGGUGUUGUGGAAGUUUCAAGAUUUUUUUCUCUCGGAGGAACACUGCUUUAACAACCGGAGUUGGAAAGGUGAAAAGGCCAAACUGUCUGUCAGCUGAACUGAAUGAUGCAGCUUGGUUUUGAAACAGUUUGGCCUUUUUUAUCUGUCCAACUCUGGCUGUUAUAGCACUGUUCCCCUGAGCAAAAAAUCUUGAAAAUGCAGUUUGCCCUUCUUCCACAACAGGAUGUGUACCUUUUUGAGCCCAUUGAUAAUAAUUUUUCAAUUGCAAUUUGAAGUAUUGGGCUGGGAAGAUGCAAACAAUAAAAUUUGGCCAUAUUGCAGUGAGAUAUGUCCGCAUCUAAAGUGGUUUGCUUGGCACCUCCACCUACACACAUAAAUGUAGAAAAUCUGCUAAUUUGAGCCAUAUUAGUACAUUAGCAUGAAAGUAUACCUGUUGGUCAAAAUUGAAAUACAAGGAGAAAAACCUGUUCCAACACACCCUGACAUCCCUUAUCCACACUGCCAGUCUAUUGAGUUUGCAGGUCUGCUUUUCUCGCGACAAAGUAGGAAAUAAUUAUUAUUACAUGACUGUUGUUGAUGGGAAAAUGUUUCAAUUUUUUGUUAUUACCAUGUUUUCCUAUUUUCAAACAAAUAACUACUAAUAAGUAUACCUUGUUAUUUUAAUCAAUAAAGCUGAAGUAUGCAAUAGA